rnacentral:lncRNA from 1 species
GGGAGCAGAUGGGGAAGGAGGGGAAUUCCUGCAGCCUGGCCUCAGAGCAGAUAGGUGAGUGGCAGGCAGAGGAGUCCACUCCGCAGCCACCGUUGGUAAUCGAUCCCAGAUGUUGCGCUGGCCCCCAGCCCAGCCCCAGGCAUGGCUCCUGCGCCCGCUCCUACAUCUGAGUAUGAAAGGAGGAAUCGAAGACCAGAGGGAAGUAACUUGCCCAAGGACACGCAACAAGCUGGACCCACAGCAGGACUGAAUCCUAGGGCUCUUGGUUCCUGUUCAGAGCCCUUCACAGCACCACACUCUGCCUCUGGUUCCCACAACCUUGACCAAGAGCUGGGCUUCCUGGGGGAGCUGUCUUUUGCAGGGCUUGGAACAAGAUGAGAAUCACAGACUAGCACACAGGCAGGAGGAAGUGCUUGUAUUGUAUUGUAUUGUAUUGUAUUGUAUUGUACUGUACUGUACUGUAUUGUACUGUAUUUUUUUGAGAUGGAGUUUCACUCUUGCCCAGGCUGGAGUGCAGUGGCACCAUCUCAGCUCACUGCAAUCUCCACUUCCCAGGUUCAAGUCAUUCUCCUGCCUCAGCCUCCUGAGUAGCUGGGAUUACAGACGUGUGCCACCAUGCCUGGCUAACUUUUGUAUUUUUAGUAGAGACAGCGUUUCAUCAUGUUGGUCAGGCUGGUCUUGAACUUCUGACCUCAUGAUCCGCCCACCUUUGCCUCCCAAAGUGCUGGGAUUACAGGUGUGAGCCACCGUGCCCGGCCACGAAGUGCUUUUAAUGAUGAGACUUCUAUUCAAAGACCGGUGUGUGGGGAAGGCUACGCCACAGUGGGGCUAGCAGACAGCAUGGACUGCAUCUCUACUGAGUGCCCAGCCCUGGAAUCCCAAAGGGGAUAAACUCUGUCCUCAAGGAACAAACUAACAAAAAAGUGAAAAACAGCACAGGGGAAUAGUGGGCGUCAUGGGGGUGGGGGUGGGGUGGGCGUAGUAUGAGCAUCUGGGGUAAGAGUGUCAGCAGAGGGAAUAGUGAGUGCAAAGGCCCUGAGACAGGAGUGUGCUUAGCCUGCUAAUGUGUCCAGGGAACCUAUGGCAGGGGAGAAAAACAUAGGAGGCAUGUUAGAGAAGGUAGGUGCAGAUGAUGUGGGACCCUACGGCUGUUGUAAGAGCCUGGCUCUUCCUCCCACUGCAAUGGGGAAGCGGAGGUGGGGGUGCAGUUUAAGGAGAAGACUGGCACCAUCCGAAUUCUACAGCAUCUUCCUGCCACUCAGUGGAAAGAGUACCCCAUGGGGGAAGGGGAUGCAGGAAGACCAGGAAGGAAGGCACCACAGUCCUCCCAGGGAGAGGGGGUGAAGACAGGAACCAGGGGCUCACCGUAGAGGGGGUGAGAAGUGAUCAGAUUCUGGACGUAUUUUGAAAGUAGAGCCAACAAGAUGGUUUGAGAGUUGCGUGUGGGGUAUGGGAGAAAGAGAACAGUCAAGUAUGUCUCCGGUUUUAAGACUACAGAAGGCACAGGCUUGGGGACAGACCAGGUUCAUCUGAACAUCGAACCCGCUGAAUUUGAGGGGGCAGUUAUCAGUGCCUGAUGAGUGAUACUACAGGAACAAUCCGGGAGACUGAUCAGGUGUCUGUUUAAAAUUAUAGGGUUUUGCUCAUCAUUAAUUUUUUGUUGCAUUGUUUGAUUUAUUAAAAUAUUAUAUUCA